AGCUCGAUGAGUAGGGCGGGACACGUGGUAUCCUGUCUGAAUAUGGGGGGACCAUCCUCCAAGGCUAAAUACUCCUGACUGACCGAUAGUGAACCAGUACCGUGAGGGAAAGGCGAAAAGAACCCCGGCGAGGGGAGUGAAAAAGAACCUGAAACCGUGUACGUACAAGCAGUGGGAGCACAGAGCAAUCUGUGUGACUGCGUACCUUUUGUAUAAUGGGUCAGCGACUUAUAUUCUGUAGCAAGGUUAACCGAAUAGGGGAGCCGAAGGGAAACCGAGUCUUAACUGGGCGUUAAGUUGCAGGGUAUAGACCCGAAACCCGGUGAUCUAGCCAUGGGCAGGUUGAAGGUUGGGUAACACUAACUGGAGGACCGAACCGACUAAUGUUGAAAAAUUAGCGGAUGACUUGUGGCUGGGGGUGAAAGGCCAAUCAAACCGGGAGAUAGCUGGUUCUCCCCGAAAGCUAUUUAGGUAGCGCCUCGUGAAUUCAUCUCCGGGGGUAGAGCACUGUUUCGGCAAGGGGGUCAUCCCGACUUACCAACCCGAUGCAAACUGCGAAUACCGGAGAAUGUUAUCACGGGAGACACACGGCGGGUGCUAACGUCCGUCGUGAAGAGGGAAACAACCCAGACCGCCAGCUAAGGUCCCAAAGUCAUGGUUAAGUGGGAAACGAUGUGGGAAGGCCCAGACAGCCAGGAUGUUGGCUUAGAAGCAGCCAUCAUUUAAAGAAAGCGUAAUAGCUCACUGGUCGAGUCGGCCUGCGCGGAAGAUGUAACGGGGCUAAACCAUGCACCGAAGCUGCGGCAGCGACACUGUGUGUUGUUGGGUAGGGGAGCGUUCUGUAAGCCUGUGAAGGUGUGCUGUGAGGUAUGCUGGAGGUAUCAGAAGUGCGAAUGCUGACAUAAGUAACGAUAAAGCGGGUGAAAAGCCCGCUCGCCGGAAGACCAAGGGUUCCUGUCCAACGUUAAUCGGGGCAGGGUGAGUCGACCCCUAAGGCGAGGCCGAAAGGCGUAGUCGAUGGGAAACAGGUUAAUAUUCCUGUACUUGGUGUUACUGCGAAGGGGGGACGGAGAAGGCUAUGUUGGCCGGGCGACGGUUGUCCCGGUUUAAGCGUGUAGGCUGGUUUUCCAGGCAAAUCCGGAAAAUCAAGGCUGAGGCGUGAUGACGAGGCACUACGGUGCUGAAGCAACAAAUGCCCUGCUUCCAGGAAAAGCCUCUAAGCAUCAGGUAACAUCAAAUCGUACCCCAAACCGACACAGGUGGUCAGGUAGAGAAUACCAAGGCGCUUGAGAGAACUCGGGUGAAGGAACUAGGCAAAAUGGUGCCGUAACUUCGGGAGAAGGCACGCUGAUAUGUAGGUGAAGUCCCUCGCGGAUGGAGCUGAAAUCAGUCGAAGAUACCAGCUGGCUGCAACUGUUUAUUAAAAACACAGCACUGUGCAAACACGAAAGUGGACGUAUACGGUGUGACGCCUGCCCGGUGC
rnacentral:rRNA from 1 species